rnacentral:rRNA from 1 species
AGCGUUUACCUACAACUGUAGCCGACAUCUGUCCGAUCGCCAUCGGCAGUGCAGCGACGAUCUUCCUGUGCUCCUUGUCUCGCGUGUUCGUCCCCAUACGCGCACCCGUCUUGAAGAACUACAAGACAAGCCGCACCAAUCUGGUCUCUGCCAACUAUCUCGUGCGUGGCUCGGCUCCUCACACGGUGAGAUCUACAACACCCACUUGUAAUGGGCGCUCAUCAUCAUAGCGAAUGUCUGGAUGUAUCCCUGAGAUAGACCCUCACAGUCGUUGAGACACAAGACCCCACGCCGAGCGCUACUGCUUCUCAUCGCAUCACAAGGGUAUCGAUGGAUAUAAGUCCGACGCAUCAUGCGCGUGGUCCGGGAGAUCCGAGCGCGACCGAGAAACGCUCAUGGAGUGGACAAACUACAUGCACGUGAGAGCUGUCGUCCCCAGCGACCUAGAAAGCGACUAGUGGCGCACUGUCUUUCCGGGACGCGUUGCGCGUCCACCUGCAGCGAGGUAUUCCAAGCUUGACACGCUCUGCGAGAACCGUGCGUUCGUCUGACUUGAAGGGGUAGUGGUUGUGAGGAGGAAGCCGAGAAAGAGUGAGCCUGUACAUCUGUCUCCCCACCAUCUAGUAGCUGGUUCCCUCCGAAGUUUACAUCAGGAUAGCUGGAGCUCGGAAACGAAUUCUAUCGGGUAAAGCCAAUGAUUAGAGGCAUCGGGGACGCAUUGUCCUCGACCUAUUCUCAACUUUAAAUAGGUAGGAAGGGGCGGCUGCUUUGUUGAGACAUACCACGGAAUCGAGAGAUCAAAGUGGGCCAUUUUUGGUAAGCAAGAAGCUCGGCGUGCGGGAUGAACGCGGGAAAGACCGUGCGAGUUAACGGGACUGCCCCCAACUGCGCGCAAACCUAGAACCCACAAAGCGGGUUGUUGGAUGUCCGAUUUCUAGACAGCAGGACGUUGUUCAUGGAAGUCGAAAUCGUCUAAGGAGUGUGUAACAACUCACCUGCCGAAUCACAUAGCCCCGAAAAUGGAUGGCGCCGAAGCGCGCGACCUAUACCCGGCCGUCGGGGCCACAGCCAGGCCUCGAUGAGCAGGAUGGCGCGGCGGUCGCUGCAAAAACUAAGGCGCGAGCCCGGGCGGAACGGCCGUCGGUGCAGAUCUAGGUGGUAGUAACGCAAAUAUUUCAAAUUAGAAAAUUUGAAGGACCGAACAAGCGGAAAGGUUCCAUGUGAAUGGCACUUGCACAUGGGUUAGUCGAGCCUAAGAGUCGGGUGAAACCCGUCUGAUAGCGCUUUUGCGCGAACUUCGAAAGGGAUCCGGUUAAAAUUCUGGAACCGGGACGUGGCGGUUGACGGCAACGUUAAGGAGUCCGGAGACGUCUCUGGAUAUUCCGGAUAAGUCGGUUAUCUUUUGCGUGUUUAACAGACCUGCAGCCACCGUAUCUGGAAAUCGGCUCACCACGGCUCAGGUAGGGUCUCCAGCGGCUGAUAGCAGCCACCGCACGUCGCGUGGUUUCCGGUGCAUUCCCGGCGGGCCCUGAAAAUCCGGAGGACCGAAGGCCGCUCACGCCCGUUCGCACUCAUAACCGCAUCAAGUCUCCAAGGUGAACCGAUGCCUCUUGGCCUCGAUGUAACAAUGUAGGCAAGGUAAGUCGUCAAAAUGGAUCCGUAUCUUCGGGAAAAGGAUUGGUUCUGAGGGCUGGGCUCGGAGGUCCCAGUUCCGAACCCGUCGUCUGUUGGUCUGGGGCUGCUUGGGCUGCUAACGUGGUGAGAGUGGACCGCCUCGUGUCGGGCCGGGGGGACGAGACUGGGAACGGCUCUUCUGGGAGCUUUCCCGUGGGCGGUCGAACAGCGCAACUCAGAACUGUACGGACAAGGGGAAUGCGCAGCGACUGUAUUAAUUAAACAAAUCUAUUGUCGAUGGUCCCUGCGGAUGCCAACGCAAUGUGAUCUCUGCCCAGUGCUCUGAAUGUCAAAGUGAAGAAAUUCAACCAAGGCCGGGUAAACGGCGGGAAGAACUAUGACUCUCUUAAGGUAGCAAAUGCCUCGUCAUCUAAUUAGUGACUCGCAUGAAUGGAUUAACGAGAUUCCAACUUUCCCUGUCUACUAUCCAGCGAAACCAUAGCCAAGGGAAAGGGCUUGGCAAAAUCAGCGGGGAAAGACAGACCCUGUUGAUCUUGACUCUAGUCCGACUAUGUGAAAUGACUUGAGAGGUGUAGAAUAAGUGCGAGCUCCGGCGCAAGUGAAAAACCACUACUUUUAACGUUAUUUACUUACUCCGUGAAUCGGAGGCGCGGUAACAACCCCUUCUUUUUGACCCAAGACUCGCUUUGGGGGGUCGAUCCGGGCGGAGGACAUUGUCAGAUGGGGAGUUUGGCUGGGGGCGCACAUCUGUUAAAAGAUAACGCAGCGGUCCUAAGAUGAGCUCAACAGCGAAACCAGAAAUCUCUUUGUGGAACAAAGCGGUAAAAAGCUCGUUGGAUUUCUGAUUUUCAGUAACGAAUUCUACGAACGUUGAAAGCGUCGGCGGCCUAUCGAUCCUUUUCUAGUCCCUCUUCGGAAUCCCUUGAUAGCUAAGAGUUUCAGCAAAAGUACCAAACAUCGGAUAAUUGGCUUGUGGCAGCCAAGGUUUCAUAGCGACGUUGCUUUUGAUCCUUCAGAUGGUCGGUCGUUGCUUCCUAUUCAUUGUGAAAGCAGCGUGAAUUCCACCUCAAGUCCGUGUUGGAAUGUUCACCCACCAAUAGGAAACGUGAGCUGGGUUUAAACCGUCGUGAGACACGUUAGUUUCACCCUACUGAUCCCCGCGUCGCAAUAGUAAUUCAACCGAGUACGAGAGUAACCGUUGAUUCGCACAAUUGGUCAUCACGCUUGGUUGAAAAGCCAGUGGCGCGAAGCUACCGCGCGCUGGAUUAUGACUGAACGCCUCUAAGUCAGAAUCCGGCUAGAAGCAACGCAUGAGCCCGCCGCCCGAUUGCCGACCCUCAGUAGGAGCUGCGGCUCGCAAAGGCACGUGUCGUUGGCUAAGUCCGUUCGGUGGAAGCGACGUUCGGACCGCCUUAAAUUAUAAUUCCCACCGAGCGGCGGGUAGAAUCCUUUGAAACUAGACGACUUAAAUUUUAAAAA